CAGGUACUGUUCGACUAGUGAUGGCUGGCACCGUCACAAUCUUCGCUGAGUUGCUUCACCUCUGAGCCGUGCCUCUCUCUGUUGGGAAUUAGUGUGAUGAUGUCAGAGCCACUUUUCCAAAAGGCUGGAGGAGGAAGAAUAUGGAAAGAACACUGGGAAGAACAGAGGGGAGCAUCGCCGUCAGUCACUGUUUGAGAAGAGGUUCUCUCCCUUCGCUCCCCAAUCCACUCAACACAGCCAUGGGGGGAUACAAGGCCCUGCACAUAGUUUUAUGACUCUGACAGUGGAGAAAACUGUCCACUGGUCUGUGGAAAAGUCUGAAUCAUCUUCCAUGGUGAAAAAGUAUGGUGUGGUCAAGGAGAAAUGGCGGGAACUAACUCCCUCUCCUGUGGAUGAGUUCCUCAAUCCCAUCCAAGGCCAGUGCCUCCCUGACCUAGUCACCUUGCACCUAGGCAACGUUAAGAGAGCUUCUCCUCCCCUCACCUCUGCCGGCUGCAUCUAACAUACAGAUCCCACUGCUGCGGGAAAGACUACUGCCAGAAGGGCAGGCUGAACUCAAAGCAUACCCUCCAGAUUCCACAGGUUCCACUGUGAACAUUACAACAGUUCUGGAAGCUCUGAAAAGCCUGAAACCCAAUCAGCCCAGUGUCCCUGAAGAUCAGGUUAUCAACGCUACAAGCAGAGGCACGUAAGGCUGUAUUUCCAACUGCUUUAGAUCUUUCACUUUGGUCUUCCUAGUGUGCUUCAGAGCAAGAAGCACUCCAAUUCUCUAUCACCUCUGACUUUCAUCAACGGGAAUUUCAGUUGCUGGAAGCUGUAGCUUAUCAUUUUAAGUCCAGCAGUAAAGAAAGAUCUGCUAGGACUAGGUCAUAACGGAGUGGUGGAGGGCUUACACAGCAUGAGUGAGGCCCUAGGUCCAAUCCCUAGCACAAGAAAAGACACAAAAAAC
rnacentral:lncRNA from 1 species